UAAGGAUAUAGAAAGGUAACAUGCAAUUUACAGAAUCACCAUAUGGAUGUAGAAAGGUAACAUGCAAUUUACAGAAUCACCAUAUGGAUGUAGAAAGGUAACAUGCAAUUUACAGAAUCAUCAUAUGGAUGGAGAAAGGUUACAUGCAACUUCUAUGCAGAGGACAAAUACCUUUUGUUUUUGAGCCC